UGCCGCCAGCAGGGGUCGAACCUGCGACCUUGGGCUUAUUAGACCCACGCUCUAACCAACUGAGCUAUGGCGGC
rnacentral:tRNA from 1 species